rnacentral:tRNA from 1 species
UGGUAUAGUGGUUAAAGUGUUUGGCUGCUAGCCAAAAGGUUGGUGGUUCAAACCCACC